rnacentral:lncRNA from 1 species
UGAUUGGCGGUCCUACCGUCACUCACAUUGUUAAUCACAAACAGCAAGGCUAGACGCUGAAAACUUUAGCUACGUACGAGUGUUUUACAUAGAAAAUGUUUUUAAAACACGGAUAACACAUUCUAUACGAGCUGACUGGACACGAUGAUAUACAAUACACCGAACAACACUUUUCAUCGACAGACAGUAAGGAAUUGCUCCAAAUGGACUGUGUGCCUUGCCAGGCCUGUUCUCGGCUGUAUUGACAUGUUUCCAAAUGGAAGCGGGUAAGCUGACAAUGCACUACAACAGAUGAGACUGAGUGCUGCUUGCUGAGACCGAGAGUUUAAGUGCAGCGGUAGAAGAGGAGCUCUUACCAAUGAGUAAAAGACACACUGGGAGAAAAUUGUUCUCUAUAGCGUCUUUUGGCUGAAUGGAUCUAAAAGGUUCUUGUAUAGGGGGAGACCAUUGUGGGUGAAUCUUGAAUUUG